rnacentral:rRNA from 1 species
UACAGAGGGGGCGAGCGUUGUUCGGAAUUACUGGGCGUAAAGCGCGCGCAGGCGGUCUUCCAAGUCAGUGGUGAAAGCCCGGAGCUCAACUCCGGAACUGCCAUUGAAACUGUUAGACUUGAGGACGAGAGAGGUGAGUGGAAUUCCCAGUGUAGAGGUGAAAUUCGUAGAUAUUGGGAAGAACACCGGUGGCGAAGGCGGCUCACUGGCUCGUUUCUGACGCUGAGGUGCGAAAGCGUGGGGAGCAAACAGG